rnacentral:rRNA from 1 species
GUCAACGGCCAAAGCGCGCCGGGUACGCCGGGUCUCGUUCCGAACCCCGAAGCUAAGCGGCGCAGCGUACUCGCGAGUACUGCGGUCGUAGGACCGUGGGAAAGCGAGCACGCCGUUGACC